AUUUAAAUAGCUUAAUUAGAGUGUAACGUUGAAGGUGUUAAGGUGAUAUUAUUAUCUUUAAGUU
rnacentral:tRNA from 1 species